rnacentral:tRNA from 1 species
GCCUUUGUAGUGUAACUGGAAGCACGUCCGGCUCAUAAUCAGGAGGUCCGGUGUUCGAAUCCCGGCCGGGGCU